AAUGAGAUGGUUAGCGCUUUUCAUUAUAAGUCUUAUGGGACUUUUUUGGUAGUCAAAAAGCCCUAUAAUCUCCAGAGUGGUUUUACCCACUACAGAAAUUAUAGAGCC
rfam:Streptococcus sp. 'caviae' strain Cavy grass 6 NODE_21_length_1410_cov_582.589, whole genome shotgun sequence.